rnacentral:lncRNA from 1 species
AUUUAUUAAGUCUUUGAGGAAGAAUUAGAAUUACUACCUCCUCCACAGUCAUGACACCCAAAAUUUCUCUCUCUAUAAGUUCUGCAGUGAUAGCAGAUUUUGCUGGACCAUAAACCUCAGGAUCAAGUUUGCUGACAAAAGGGAACUCCUGCAUGAUUGUUGAAAUCAAUAAAUAUUAAUCAUCCAAUGCACAAUAAAAAUAGAAAAAUAACUUAAUAAAUUAGGAAAUGUACUAAGUGUUAAUAUUUCCAACAUACUGUGACAAGUUGAAUGCUAAAUGGAUUGAGCCCUGCUAGAGUUUGCCUAGAGAACUCCUCAUCUCUGAACCAUGCAAACUUGUCUCCUGCAGCAUUGAUGGUGCCACAAGUUAAGUGAGUUGGUAAAAAAUAAGAAAAUUUAUGCGCAGAUGCUAUUCUUACAAACAAAUUUUAUUAACCGUUUACGCUCUGCAAUGAGUCGUAAACGGUCGUGCAUAGAAUUCAGCUGUAAGCUAAAGCAAUUACGAUCGAUCAUCUCUGGAGCCUCGAAGAGAAGAACGUUGUCGGUGCUGUCCUCGAAGGCCUUGAUGACCCGCGGUAUUACGGUGCGGAAGAAGCUAAGACCCUCUUGCUUAGGGAGUUUGACACCCUCAUUGAACAGUGAAUCAAUGGCUGUGAAGUAGGGGAAACCGAGCUUCGUGUCGAUGAUCGCCGUCUCGAUCGAGGGGACGACUGCAUGGAGUACAGAUUUAAAGGCCUUCGCCGAGAAUGUCAGUCCCUUAACCUCGGAGAAGGCUUCGUCCCUCGGGACGUAUACGCUGCUGCUUCGUUCUUCUGAAAGUGGGUCUACAAGAAAAGGCAAAUAGUUGAGAUAUCAUAUGCUAGGAUGUUUAUGCGCACAAAUAGCUAUGUUAGCUAUGUAGUAUUUUGCGUUUACGACAUUCAUAUUUGAACUAUCUCUCGCAUAUAUACCUUUCUUGGUUCUAGGGCGACCGGUGCGGCAUCGACGCGGAUAAGGCAACUCUUUGCUGUCUCCAAGGACGGGCCUUGCCAUGUCCUGGCCUUUGUCGGGAUCGCCAAGAUCAUUGUAUGUGUCGUAGUCGUAUAUCCUCUCGAAUGGCUUCCGUUCCCCCGUGCCAUCCCCUCGCAUGUUCGCCAGCUCUUUCUUCCUCAGCCUCUCGAGCCCCGGUGGGGUUUGAGAAGGCAAGUAGGACUGCAUGCAUGCACGCAUUAAGAGAGAGAGAGAGAGAGAGAGAGAGAGAGAGAGAGAGAGAUAUAGAUGUUCACGUACCUUGAUGGUAAAGAAUUAUCAAACUUAAAAAAAUUGGAGAAACAAAGUAAUCUGAACUAUGAGAGAGAGAGAGAGAGAGAGAGAGAGAGUCGUUCACCUUCUAGUAAAAUUUUUUUUUAAGAGAUAGAUAGCAUGCUACUCGCUUUGUGUAUUUCAUUUAGAAAUAAACUUAGCUAAAAAUGUGAAUCAACUAUAAUUCGAACUUGAGAUCUUGGGUACCAACCACCAAGUCUUUUGCCAUUUGCGAUAAGGACAGUCGGUCUUUCUAGUAAAGAUUUGUCAAAACAAAGUAAACUGAACUAAUUAGAUAAAGAGAUGCUAAACCUUGCUAGUAAAGAAGACCCUCUUCUCAGGGUUAUCAAAUUUGGAGUGCACCCACGACCUACAAUCGAUGGUGAGGGAGGUGGCGUCGUCGCCAGCAGUGGUGAGCACGAUGUCGUGGAGAUACAUCUCCUUGUGGUGUUCGUUCUCCACCACCACCGCGCCUACUUCUCUGAACGUCGAAGGGACCGAGAACUCGCCUUCAUACUUGACCUUGUCACAAUGUUGGCUUGCUUUGUGAGCGUAGCCCGCUAUGGUCUCCUUCUCCAACCCCGUUCCUGUUAAGUGAAACAUGAUUAAUACGAGUAAUAUUACACUUACAAACAAAUUUUACAAUACUUUAUAAACUAGCAUAUGCAAUAGUAUGUUUAUAUUAGAAAAGUGUAAAUCACUAGAAGGUAAAUAUAACUCAUAAUUUAAAGGGUGAAAUCUUACCAUUGAUCGAGUUAUAUAGUUUCGUAAAAUAUUGUAAGAUUUGUUUGUAAUUAGCAAAGCAUUUUGUACUCAUUUUAAUCAUUCAAUGUCAACAGGUCAUUUAGUCACUACUAACUAAGUAUAGAAUUAAAAACUGAUCAUAUAUAUAUAUAGAAUUGAGCUAGAAUACUAUCGGUAGCAAAUGGGCUUUGUCGCCACCCAUUUGUUUUUUAUGAUGGAGCCUCUAAAUCGACGAUCGGUACCGUUGAGCAUGAUCCAUACCACUUGAAGUGUUUAGAAAUCAAAUUUCAUACAUUUUUGAUAUUGUUCUCUUAUCCAUCGAGUGGACACAAAAAUGAACGGCUGAAAAUGAAUAUUUUUUAAAAAAUGAUGAUAGGAGUAUUGUAGUCAAGAUCAAUAGUAUAGAUCUUGUUUUAAAUAGUUUAAAGAAUUUUUUUACCAAAAAUUCAAUUGAUUUGGAUAUCUUUACACCGUUAAACGAGAAAACGCCUCAUAUCGACCAUUAAAAUUAUAAAAUUUGAAACUCUUUGAUCAUUAGGCAAAUGAUGUCAAAAAGGUUUGAAAUUUGAUUUAUAAACACUUCAAGUGGUAUAGAUCAUGUUCAACAAUGCCGAUCGUUGAUUUGUAGGCUCUAUCAUCGAAAGCAAAUAGGUGGCAACGGAGUCUGUUUGCUACCAAUAGUAUUCUAGCUCAAUAUAUAUAUAUAUAUAUAUAGUCGGCAACGGAGCCCGUUUGGAGCCUCUAAGUCGAUUUGGAGCCUCCAAAUCGACGAUCGGCACCGUUGAACAUGAUCUAUACCAUUUGAAGUAUCUAGAAAUCAAAUUUUAUACAUUUUUUAUAUUGUUCUCUUAUCUAUCGAGUAGACACAAAAAUAAACGGCUGAAAAUGAAUAUUCUUUAAAAAAUGAUGAUAGGAGUUUUAUUAUGAAGAUCAAGAGUAUAGAUCUUGUUUUAAAUUGUUUAAAGAAUUUUCUAAUAAAAAUUCAAUUGAUUUGGAUAUCUUUACGCCGUUAAACAAGAAAACACCUCAUAUCGACCAUUAAAAUUACAAAUUUUGAAACCCUUUGAUCAUUAGGCAAAUGAUGUCGAAAAGAAUUGAAAUUUGAUUUCUAAACACUUCAAGUGGUAUAGAUCAUGUUCAACGAUGCCGAUCGUCGAUUUGGAGGCUCUAUCAUCAGAAACAAAUAGAUGCAACGAAGCCACGUUUGCUAUCUCUCUCCUCUCCCCUCUCUCUCUCUCUCGUCAGGCAACGCUCUCUCUCUCUCUCCUCCCUCCGGAUCUCUCUCUCUCUCCUAUUAUUAUAUAUAAUAUAUAUAUAUAUAAUUAUAUAUUACUAUAUAAUGGAGAUUUGCAUCUAUACCUAUCGGAUAGUAUCAAAAGCUUUUGGCACAUAAUCAAAAUCUUUUUAACCGUUAGAAAUCUAUUCUUUAACUCAUUAUUUACCUGUUAAAAUUAUACUAAUUCAAUCGCAACCACACCAUAUUAACUUUAGAAGAACUCUACCAUCAUCCUAACCGAAGAUCACUCACUCAUUCUACACCACAUACAUCAUUUCAUCAAACGCCCGAAAACUAGAUAAUAAACAACCGUUAGCUACUAUCGAUAAUAUCCUUUCAUCCAACAGGCCGAAAAGCUUGAUAGAAUCAAGUGGCUAAUUAUAACUAUCGAUAAUAUAGUUGCAUAAUAUAUAUAUAUAAUAUAGUAUAUAUAUAUAUAUAUAUAUAUAUAAGAGAGAGAGAGAGAGAGAGAGGAGAGGAGAGAGAGAGAGAGAGAGAGCCGUUGAGCUAAAUACUAUCGGUAGUAAACGAUGCCGUUUUAAUUACGCGAUUUGUUUUCGAUGAUAGAACUUCCAAAUGAUGUCCGCAAAAGAUUGAAAUUUGAAAUUCAAAAACACUUCAAGUGUACUAGAUCAUCAUUCAAUGGCUCCAAAAUCAAUAAAUUUCACUGGACGUAAGUGAGCUCGUUUUGCAAGUUUAACGUGUAAGAAAUUCCAAAUCAACAUGAAAAUUUUGAUAGAAAAUUUCUUAUAACUUACUAUAUAAAACAAAGAUCAAUAUCUUUGAUAAAAAUUUAUGUCAUAUAUUACAUUUUGUAAGAAUUUUUAUUUUCAAUCUUGAUUUGAGCGCCCCCUCGUUCACUAGGCAAAAUAUAAUGUAAAUAAAAAUCUUUAUUUUCUAAGUACUUGCAAAAUACUCUAAAUAAAUUUAAACGGAGCGAAUCGACCGAGUUGAAAAGCCAGCAACAUCGAAAACAAGAGACUGAAGAACGGCAAGCAAUCUCGUAACUUCGACUAGGUAAUAAGUAGCCUCACUUAUAUAUAUAUAAUAUAUAUAUAUAUAUAUAUAUAUAAUAUAUAAUAUAUUAUAGCCAGGGCUGCUGUGCUUCAGGAUCACACCCGGCACGGAGGCCUCCGUGCUCCUAGACCGUUUUCGAUGAUCUGAGUUUUCGAAUCGACGAUCGGUUCCGUUAAACUUGAUCUAGCGUAUUUGAAAGUUUUCUAGAAAAUGAAUUUUACGAUUUUUUGAUAUCAUUAUACUCUAGCAAUUUUCGAAAAGAAUUCAAAAUCAAGAUAAUUUUUAAACGGCUUGAAAAUAAAAAUUUAUAUUAAAAGUGUUGAAUAUAGGCAAUAAAAUUUCGAUCAAGAAUAUAAUAUUUGUUAUAGAUAGUAUAGGAAGAAUUUGUAUCAAAAUUCAUCUGAUUGAAUACUUUACACCUGUUAAACUGAAAACGGUAGAUAUUAACCAUAUAAAUAAUUAUGGAUUUUGAAUCUUUGCCUCACUAGGUAAAUGAUAUCAAAAAAUCGCAAAAAUUAUUUUCUAGAAACUUCAAAUGCGCUAGAUCAAGUCUAACGAAGCCGAUCGUCGAUUCAAAAAUUCUAUCAUUGAAAAUGGCUCAGGAGCACGGAGGCCUCCGUGCUCCUGAGAGCACAGCAGCCCCGCUCUAUAUAUAUAUAUAUAUAUAUAUAUAUAUAUAUAGUGUAGAGCUACUAUGCUAUUGGAAGUAUAAAGUAGUUGGUGCUUCCGAUUUUUUAGCCUUUGGAUCAAAAAUUCUACGAUUGGGAUGAUAACGGUCCCCUUAGAGUUGAGUGGUCCAACUAGAGUUGAGGGGUUCCCAUUGGUUAAUAAUAUUAAUCCAAUGGUUAGAAAUAAUCAAUGGGGUUGAUGUAAGGGUUAUAAAAUCGAAAGCACCAACUACUUUAUGCUUCUGAUAGCAUAGUAGCACUACUAUAUAUAUAUAUAGUGAGGCUACUAUGCUUUGGGAAGCACGGAGCCUUCCAUGCUUCCAUGUCGUUUUUCAUGUUGCGACUUUCGAAUCGUCAAUCGGCUUAGUUAAACUUGAUCUAGAGUAUUUCAAGAACCAAGAAAAUAAAUUAUGCAAUUUUUCGAUAUUAUUUACCUAGUGAACGAAGAGGCUCAAAAUCAACGACUAAAAAUAAAAAUCUUACAAAACAUGAUAAUAUGACAUUAAAAUUUUAGAUCAAAGAUAUUGAUCUUGUUUUAUAUAGUAUAAAGAAUUUUCUACCAAAAUUUCACGUGAUUUGGAUACUUUUAUAGCGUUAAACUUGCAAACGGCUCACUACGGCUAUUAAAAUUAUUGAUUUUGAGCCCCUUCGAUCACUAGGCAAAUGAUAUCUAAAAAUCAUAAAAUUUAUUUUCUAGGUGCUUCAAAUACUCUAGAUCAAGUUUAACGGAGCCGAUCGACGAUUUGAAAGUCGCAACAUCGAAAAUGACCUGAAAGCACGGAAGGCUCCGUGCUUCCAAAAGCAUAGUAGCCUCACUCUCUCUAUAUAUAUAUAUAUAUAUAUAUAUAUAUAUGAGUAGGGCUACUAUACUCUUAUGAGUAAAGAGUUCUUUGUACUCAUAAGUUGUUUUCGAUGUUGGGACUUUCGAAUCGACGAUCUACACCGUUAAAUAUGAUUUAGAGUAUUUGAAACUUCUAGAAAUAUAUGAGUUAAGUUGGUUUAUUAUUAUUAGUAGCCUGGAGGCCUUCGUGCUACGGUGCUACCAAGUUAUUUUCAAUGAUGUGACUUCCAAAUCAAUGAUCGACUCUGUUAGACUUGAUCUACACUAUUGAAAGUAUUUAAAAACUAAAUUUCAUAAUUUUUUGACAUCAUUUGGCUAGUGAUUAAAAGGUCUCAAAAUUGAUAAUUUUAACGAUCGAUAUAAUGUGUUUGUGAAUUUAACGGUAUAAAACAAUUCAAAUCUAAUAAAUAUUUUAUAAAUUAUUUUUUACUAUUUAGAAUAAGAUCAACAUCCCUAUCUUAAAUUCAAGUCUUUUCUUACAUCAUUCUUUUACUUUAUUGCAUCUCUCUCUCUCUCUCUCUCUCUCUCUCUCUCGGGCUAGUCAAAUGGUCUGCAAAUUGAUUAAUUGCCAUGUAAAAUACAGAUCAAACAAAUUGAUUAAAAUGUAGAAAAAGUAGUUGUGGGAUAGAAGAUUGGGGUAGCUAGUCACUUUUUGUAAACUAAUAUAUAUUAGUCUUAAAUUUUAGAAAGGUAAACUUCAAAUACCACUCCAGUAGUUUCAUACUUUCUCAUUUUAGUAUCAUAUAGUUUAAAAUGUAUUAAGUUAGUGUCCUGUAGUUUCAUUUUCAUUUUUUUGUCAACUUCUCCGUUAAUUUUUCAUUAAAUUAUAUUUAACAAACUUCAGAUACCCCACCAAAUUUUAACUUCAUCAUUCAUUUAACAAAAAAUUAGUGAAAUCGAUAAUAAAAAGAUAAAAAAAAUCAUAGGGCACUAAAUUGAUAUACUAUAAAUCACAGGGUACUAAAGUAAGAAAGCGUAAAAUCACAAGGAUGGUAUUUAAAAUUUUCCCAUUUUAAAAAUUUAUGUAUUAAUUAAUUUUAAAUAAUAAUUAAAAAAUUAGAGAUCUUAAUUAUGAUUGUAUUAGAUUAAUAAUUUUUAAUGUAAAAUUACUCAUGUUCAUAUAUUAUUUUUAGUAGUUUAAAAAGAUUGGAAUCAAGUAAAAAUGGCUUGCUUAAAUCAAACAAAUCGGAGUUGAAUGAAACCGACCAAAUUAUUUCGAUUAAUUUGCAUGGUUUGGUUCCCCCUUUUUUUUUUUGAAAAAAUUGUAUAAAUCGAACCGAAUCGAAUCAACAAAUGCUUAACUCUACCUCCAAAUUUAAACUCGUACAGAUAUUCGAAUCCCGUGAACCACCUACUCUGCUGGAAAGAAUUUUAAUUUUUCAAAAAAGAAAAAACUUUAAAUAUUUUUAUUAAAUUAACGCUUUCUUAUUUUAGUACUAUAUGGUUUAAAGUAUAUUAUUUUAGUAUCAUGCAGUUUCAUUUUUUUUUCUUUUCAUCAGCACCUCCGUUAACUUUCUGUUAAAAUAUAUAGAAAAAACUUCAGAUACCCUUCUCAUCGUUUAUCGAAUAUUCAUUUUAAUACUCUGUAGGUUAUCGAAUUUUUAUUUAGUAUCUUGUGGUUUUAACUUUUUCAUUAAUUUAACAAAAAAAUUAACUGAGGAGAUAACAAAAAUAAAAAAUUAAAAUAAAAAAUACUAAAGUAAAAAAACCACUGAACAACAGGAGUGGUAUUUGAAGUUUUUCAAAAAAAAAUAAUGAAAUAAUUAAUUUUCUAGUAGAGGAAGGGGUAAAACCGUAAAAAGGACACAUGACGUAGUGGUGAAUUUGUCAUACAAAAGCAGUCGUACGUAAAGCUGUUCAAAAUAUCCGACAUUUUAUACUCAAUUCGGACCCUAGCCGGACUCUACCUAGAUUUGAAUUGGACCCGAUAAAAAAUAAAUAGUAUACCAGUAAAAAAAUCAAUUAAAGUUUUGGAUUUGCGUCCCAAUAGUUUAUGUCAAUACCGGACUUGGACCUGACUUGAACAUGACCUUUUAAUAGGUAGGAUCCGGAUGAGUUUCUAAAUCCAGACCCGAACCUGGACUCAGACCCGGUGAAAUACCCGAUAAUAAAUUAAAAAAAAUUGAAGUUGAGGGAUCAAUUUCAAUAGAAUUUAUAGGUAAAGGAUUUUUGUGUCUUUUCAGUUUAGUGAAAAUCUUAGUCGCCCUGUUUAUUCUUUUUUUUUUACUCUUUUUUUUUUUAUCUUAGUUGUUUACUGCUUGAAUUAUUUCUUUGAACGAAUUUUAUUGGAUUGGAUGCAACUAAUUUGAAUGCAAGUUUUUUAUAGUGAGAGAUUUAUGAUUUGUCCAUAAACCGUUAAUAAAGUGUAUAAAAAAAGUGAAUACGAGUAUCCGUAUCCGAUCCAUAUUCGAUCUUAAGUAAAUAGGAUACAGAUAGUCACUAUCCAAAGCCAGAUCGGUGUUUUUUUAAUUCAAGUACCUAGAUCAAAACUUGAUUCGAAGUUAAAUUGAUAGAGUGUAUAUAUAUAUAUAUAUAUAUAUAUAUAUAUAUAUAUAUAUAUAUAUAUAUAUAUAUAUAUAUAUAAAGUAGUUCUCCCGUGCUUAUGAAAGUACGGAGGCCUACGUACUUAUAAGUUGUUUUCGAUGAUAGGACAUCCAAUUCGACGAUCGGCUCCGUUAGGCAUAAUCUAUGCUAUUAGAACUAUCUAGAAACCAAAUUUUAUAAUUUUUCGACAUUAUUUACCAAGCGAUCACAAGAUAUCAAAAAUUACUAUUUUAACGGCCAAUGUGGCACGUUUUUAAGUUCAACGGUGUAGAAGUAUCCAAAUUACAUGAAACUUUAAUAGAAAAUUCUACUUAACAUCAAGAGCAAGAACAAUACAUAUGAUUUGAAAUUUGAGUCAUUUAUCACUAUUUUUUAUGAGAUUUUUAUUUUCAACCGUUCAUUUUGAAGCUACUCGUUCACUAGGCAAACGAAGUCAAAAAAUUAUGAAAUUUGGUUUCUAGAUAGUUCCAAUAGCGUAGAUCAUGUUUAAUGGAACCGCGCCGAAUCGGACGUCCCAUCAUUAAAAACAACUUACAAGCACGAAGACCUCCGUACUUUCGAAAGCAUAGGACCCCUCUCUCUCUCUCUCUCUCUCUCUCUCUCUCUCUCUCUCUCUCUAUAUAUAUAUAUAUAUAUAUAUAUAUAUAUAUAUAUAUUACUCAUUUUUUAGAAUAUGAAUACAAUAUAUCAACUAUUCAGACGGCGGACCUGAUCCACGAACAUCUUUAAUUGUAAAAUUUAUUAUUAGUCCAAUCAUUUGCCCUAGACAACUACACGUGAUCGACAACUACGUCCACGGAAAAGGACGUUACCUGGUUGUUCCUAUUCCUUGUUCCUAUUCCUAGUACUAUUUAUUAGGGUUUAGUUUUCCACUUAAAAAAAAUUAUUUCUUGGAAUAUUUAUAGUGGUAGAAAAAAAUUUUUAGAAACUAUUUUUAUAGAUUCGAAAAAAAAUAGUGUUCUCGUUUUAGCCGAUUUUCGGAGAAAAAUAAAAACUCAAAUCUAGUAAAAAAAUUUUUAUUCAUUUUUUUAUCGAACCAAACAAAUAUAAAUUUUUUUAGGAUAAACUUUAAAUACUACAUCUGUACAUGGUUUCGCAUUUUCUCAUUUUAGUACCUUAGCUUGCGUUUGGUUGGAGGUUAAGGGGUGGAAUAACCCCUUAACCUCCAUUUAAUCCCCAAACGCAAGCAUUUAGUGGUGGGGUUAGUAAACCCCACCCCCCCUCCCCGCACGGCUCCCAAAAUAUAGAAUAUUUAAAACAAUAAAUAAAAUAUUUAUUUUAAAUGAUUAUAGUGAGGCUAUUUUAGUAAUUUUACUAUCUUUAUUAAUCAUUAUCUUUUUUAUCCCACCUACUCCAACCAAUCAUUAUCUUUCUUUAUCAAUCAUUAUCUUCUUAUCCAACCUACUCCAACCAAUAAUUAUCCUUCUUUAUCAAUCAUUAUCUUCUCAUCCCACCUACUCCAACCAAACACUAUUUUUCAUUAUUCUAGACUAACUCCAACCCCAACCAAACACAAAAAAACUUUAACCCCACUUUAACCCUGAACUUAACCCUAUCCCUGGAAUAGCUACUUUUUCCUUAACCCCGAACCAAACGGAGGCUUAUAGUUUAAAGUGUAUUAAUUUAGUAUCACGUAGUUUCAUUUUUCUCUUUUCAUCAGUCCCUCCUUUAACUUUUCAUUAAAUCAUAUACAAAAAACUUCAGAUACCCCAUCUAUAGUUUAUUAAAUAUUCACUUUAGUAUCUUUUACUUUAACUUUGUCACUGAUUUAACGAAAAAAAUCAGUGAAGGGAAUAACAAAAAGAGAAAAAUAAAAUCAUAGUAUACGAAAGUGAUACACUUUAAAUCACAAGGUACUAAAGUGAGAAAGUGCGAACCAACAGAGGAUGGUAUUUGAAGUUUUCUCUUUUUUUAACCAAAAAAUAUUAAUAAAAAAUUAUUUUUGUCCUACAAAUCAAAUACUAUAAAACAUAAAACUUUUUUCUACCAAACGUUUUUUUACGAAAAAUUAUUUUUUAUGAUUUUACAUGCAACCAAACAGCCUCUUAGCUUAAUCGAAAGAGAUUGUAUUCGUUUCACCAAAAAUUUCCACACUAACAUAUAAAAACAUAAAAAAUACUUAAAUUUUGCUGUUUGAAAAUUUUAAGUCGAUGCAUUUAAUUUUCUUCUCGCUCACUUGGGCACAACAGUGGAGUUGGUGGGAAACAGCAAAGAAGAUAUAAUAAGUGUUCAAUGGAGACAUGGGCCCGCAAGAAGUGGAGGAUGGAGAGAUAAAGUAUAUAGGACAGACCAAUUUUAAAAAUUUUGGUCNAAAAAAAAAAAAAAAAAAAAAAAAAGCAAAGCUACUGAAUAGUUUUUUGCAAAAAGACAUGUAUAAAAUAUUUAAAAAAAAUUAUAUUUUACUUUUUUUAAAUUUCAAGGUUAUGCAUUUACUAUUCCUCUCAUAGAAUUCAUCAUUAUUCCAUCUUAUUUCUUAUAAUUUAUAAAUAGAUAUAUCAAAAUUAUUUUAAAAAUAACAUAAAUAUAUUAAAAUAUUAUUUUUUUAUAUAACAUGUAAUGGUAAUUUGAUUAUUUUGUCUUUUUCAUUAACACUGUAAUUUUUUUUAAAAAAAAUUGAAAUCCUGAUGCGUGGGACAAAAUAUAGAUUUUAAAAGUAAAAAAAAAAAGCAAAAAUUUGUAUUUUAGCUUUUUUUAGUUUUUACUAAUUUUGGUUAACUACCAUCUACAACAAAUUAAAUUAAUUAGGCUAUUCCACUUUUGGUGAAACAAAUGUAUCUCUAAAUAAAAUUUUGAUUAUUUCUGAAAAGGUUCCUACAUGCAUUUAUUUCACUUACUUGACCUUUUAUUAUUUUUGUUUUUCACAUGGGCCUGUUUGAUUUCAUUUUAAUAAAAAAGUCAAAGUGUACUUUUCAAGUACUCAUUAAUUACUCUCUCUUAAAAUUUUUUUUUUUUUUCCUGCUUCUGCAAACUUAAAAAAAUGAUGCACAGAAAAACAAAAUAAAAUAAAAUAAAAUACAAUACUAUCCACCAAGCUAAACAAAAGAUAGUGUAAUUUUUUUUCCCCUUGAAAACUCUUCUAUAUUAUGUUGUUUUAUAUAAACUGAUAUAAUUAUGUAUGUAUAUAUUAGAAAUUUAGUAUGUGUCACUGUAAAUCCUUAAUAAGUACUUAAAAAAAAAAGGUGCAGUUACAAAUCGACUUGGUUGGAUAUAUAUAUAUAUAUAAAAUAUGUAUGUGUGAGUACAUGCAAAUUAGCUCAUUAAUUUGCUUACAAAAUGCAUAUGUAAAUGUAAAUUCUUUAAAAAAAUUUGAAAAAAAGAAGGUACUUAAGCGUUUGAUUAAAUAUAAUUAUAAAUACAGUGUAGUUGAAGAUGUAUGUUAUUAGAAAUGCAGUAGUUGCAACUACAUUCAUCCUGUUUGUAGUGAAAGCGCUAUAAUUAUAAAUAAUUUGUUUACUUGGAUCGAGCUCAGAGCUCGCAAGCUCUAAGAGGAGGGUCUUCCCCAGCAAGUCGGCGAUGUCGUCGAGGCCGCGGGCGAGGCCGACGUUCGAGAGGGCUCCGCCGACAGUCGACUGCACCGUCACGACCACUUUCACCUUUGCGGGGCUCUUCGUCGCCAUUGCUGCCGGCGCCGCAGAUCUUGCCGCCUCCUCAUUUGCAGCCUCGCAGCGCACCCGAAGAGCCCUCAGAGUCGCCUCUCGACGACGGCUUAGACACGAUUGCGACCGCGUAUAUCGCGGUUUCGGGAUUGUGAUUGGGUAUAUAAUUGGAUUGAGGGAUGAGGUAAAGAAGAGGGAGGGGGAGUGGUUUUGUGCUUGUAACAAGGGCUUCAACAUUUUUUUAUUUUAUUUUAUUUUUUUUGGUGUGUGUCUUGAGUUGUAUUUAGUUCAACGUGGGAGCUGAUGAGGACUGAGGAGAGAGAUACUUGAGGGUUUUGGAUGGGGAUGAUCAUAUAUAUAUAUAUAUAUAUAAUAUAUUAUAUAAUAAUACUAUUAGUAUAUAUUAGUAGUAUAGUUAUAUAUGAUAUAUAUAUAUAAGGAUAAACUUCAAAUAUUGGUUUCGUACUUUCUCACUUUAGUAAUCUUUGAUUUAAAGUGUAUCAAGUUAGUGCCAUGUGGUUUUAUUUUUAUCUUUUUGUCAGCUUUUCCGUUAAUAUUUCGUUAAAUUAUAUAUAAAAAAUUUCAGAUAUCCCACCUAGGUUUAUCGAUUAUUCACUUUAGCACCCUUUAGUUUUAACUUUGUCACUGAUUUAACGAAAAAAAUUAGUAAAAUAGAUAAUAUAUAAAAAGAUAAAAAUAAAACCACAUAACACUAAAUUGAUAGUACACUUUAAACCACAGAGUACUAAAAUGAGAAAGUGUGAAACCACAGGGGUAGUAUUUAAAGCUUUCCCUGUAUACAAUGAGGAGGUAUAUAUGUAGAGUGCUAUAUAUACAUAUACACUUAUGUGCAUGUUCAUCACUGUUUUGGAAUACAAUCCAACCCGCUAACAAUAAUAACUUAUUAGACCAAAACCAUCGGCCUGAAAUACUUUAGCCUAGUUAUUAUUGUUAGUAUAUCCGUCACUUAUAAACCUAUCAAACUUUUCUAUAUUAUCCGACGUGGAAUUAUUGGGCUUACAUUCUCGUCAGCCCGGCUCAAUCAUACAAAUAGUCACAAAUUUAUUAGGCGAUGUAAGACCUAUAUUAUAUUUUCGACUAGUUAUCAUUCAUCUCUAAUUGCAAAUGUAACGAGUCGACACGUCAACAGUAAUAACUCGUUGGAUCCAAAUCACCGGCCCAAAAUACUUAAAUCUAGUUAUUAUUGCUAGUAUGUCUGUCACUUAUAAAUCCAUCAUACUCUUUCAUAUUAUCUGAUGCGGAACUAUUGGGUUGUCACGGACACUCUCUCUCUCUCUCAAAAAAAAAAAAAAAAAAAAAAAAAAAAAAAAAAAAAGCAUCAAAGUAUAUUAACCAUUGAAUAAGCCAACACAUUAUAGCACAUGGAAAAUACAUGCAAUUUUAGGGUCUAUUUGAUUCAACGUAAAAUUAUAAAAAAUAAUUUUUAUGUAAAAAUAAUUUUAUUUUUUGUAAUAUUUGAUUUGUAUAAAAUAAGUAAUUUUUUAUUAAUAUUUGUUUGGUUGAAAGAAAAAAAAAAUUAUAUUUGUUUGAUUUGGUAAAAAAAAUUUUAGGCAGCUUGAGUUUUUAUUGUCCGCUGAAAAAUAGUGAAAAACGAAAAGUUCAUUUUUUUUUUCAAAUCCGUAAAAAUAAAAAAAUAUUUUUACGUCUAACCAAACAAGUGAAAAAAUAUUUUCAUACCGAAAAUAAGUUUUUGAUUCGUUUUAUGCCAAACGAAUUAAAUACGCCCCCUUAUUGAACAUAUGACUCAGAAAACUCGAGUCUAAUCGACUUGAACUCAAAAUCUCCGAUUUUGGUAUGAUAAAUAUCGAAUGUUCAAUAAUAUUGAAAUAAUAUCAAAAAGGAUUUUUUUUCGUGAGUUUUAAUGCAAUAUGUUCAAUAAUUAAUCGAAUGUUCUAUUUGCACAUAAAAUCAAUGCCUUAAAAUUCGGAUUCGUUUGGGGUUCAAAAAUAUUAUCGGAUCGCAGGUUCUAGGCUCAAUCAAUAAUUCAAUCACUGAAAUUUGUGGCAUCAACAUGACGUCAUAAAUACUUAAUACUGUAUUGUAAUAAAAAAUAUAUAAUAGUUAAGUAUAGUAUUCUAUAUUAUUUUUAAAUAUUAAUAAAUUAUAUAUAAAUUAAAAAUAUACUUAAAGUAUAAAUUAGUAAAAUAAACUAAUGCAUAUUUUAAUUAAUUAUUACAAUAUUAAAUAAAAAAUUUGGCAGGUUCUAAUCAUAAAAUCAAAUCAGUUUACUGGUUUAAACCACUGGUUUGCACGGGUAAUUUAAAAUCAGUUUGCUGGUUUUAUUGUUAAACCGCUGGUUUGAACGGGUCAAUGCACGUUUUAAAUCAGUCUAAUUUUGUUAGUUGAACUAAACUGCUCUGGGUACUAUCUCAUAAUCCGAUCAAUCAUGUCGAAUGAAUUUUAAAUUAUUAUAUAAAUAAAAUAACUUUUAAAAAAAAAAGAACUUUCUCGAUAAUUGAAGAUCUUGACAAUUAUUGACAGGACGGGAGGUAGGAUUAUUCCAACCAAAUAUAAAAUGGUAUAAAUCUUAUGAUUAAUUUUAUAGAGAUACACCGAUCAUUCCUAGCGCAAGUGGUAAAGAAUUUGAUGGUUGGUAUUCGAAGUUCCAAGUUUAAAUUCUAGUUGAUUCAUAUUUUCAGCUAAGUUUAUUUCUAAAUGAAAUAAACGAAACGGGUAGCAUACUACCUAUCUCUCAAAAAGAAAAAAAAAAAAUUCAUACAGGUACCACCUACAAACAUGGUAAAUAACAAAUAUAUCUAUGUAACGUUUAAUUUUUAUAUGUUGUCCCUACAAAAGUCAUAGUGUCUUCAAAUUUGGAUAGCAUGCUAUGUAUCUCUCAAAAAGAAAAAAAAAAUUCAUGCAGGUACCCUACAAACAUAGUAAAUAACAAAUAUAUCUCUAUAAAAUAUAAUUUUUAUAUAUUGUUCCUACAAAAGUCAUAGUGUCUUCAAAUUUGUCCUUGCGUCAGAAUACGUUGGAAAAUUUUAGUUAAUCAUAAGUUAAAUAUAACAUUUGAAGGGACAUAUUUGUGAUGAUAAAAUUGAAAAUAUAAACAGUUUUCUAAUGGUUUUCUAAUUGUAACAAACUAGAGAGACAUAUUUGAAAAUAUUAGAACUUUUGUAGAGACAAUAUAUGAAAGUUGAACUUUAUAAGUAUAUAUAUUUGCCAUUCAGUAUAUUAGCAAAAACCUGUAUGAAACUAAUCUAAAUCUUAUAUCUAAUUCAUUAGCUUUAAUUUUUUUUUUGCAUAGACAUCUAUGCAAUAGUUUUGAUCAGAUGACGUGCAUAUGAUUCUGUAAAAUUUUAAAAUAUAAAGAAAUUUAAAUUUUCUCUUCUCGUUUGAUAGUUAAAUUCAAUGACUAAAGAAAUUGUUGAACCAAACUUCAAUUUUUAUCAUUUUUUUACAUAUUAAUACAAAAUAAUAUUUUUUGUGUUUUAAAGAUUUAUAAACUAUAUCCACCGGAUGCGAUAAAAAUGACGAUAUAAUUAAUAACUUUAAUUGAAGAGAGGGGUCCAUUAAACUAUGCAAUAAAGUUUGAUACCAAAUUCUUAGAGGGGUUUGGAUCGAUGAGUGUAAAAUGGACAAUGGCCUACUGAUUAUAAUAUAUAUUGAGUGUAUAUGUAGCAUUUUAAAAUACAAAAUUAAUGGGUUUUGCUCACACUUCAACAUGAGUUAAACAAUUCAACCUAGAUAUAUAAUUAAAUGAGUUUUGCUCUCUAUAAAAACUUAGUUAACUUAAUGUGAGAUUUGCUCCAUUUUAAUUAGAUGUUGAGUUGGAUUAUUAAUUGUCAUGUUUGCACGUAAUAGUUGAAUUAUGCCACUAAUUAAUCUAGUGCAUCUCAAAGUGCAAGGAAACCUAUAACUUGAAAGAAAAAGAAAGAUAUAUAAAGUUGUAAUUAAUAUAAAACAAUUGUUGUUAUCAAAAAAUUUAAAUUGAUAAAGGAAUGACGUUUUUAUAUUAUUAUAGUUAAUACUUUCCCUCAUAUUUGGACUCGAAACUUAUUUUAUAAGCCUACGAUCAAUGUGAAUUUGAGUUAAUGGGCAAUUAUGUUAGCAGUCUGGCGUGACUCGAAUUCAAAAUUUUCUACUCUGAUACUAUGUUAAAUAAUAUGAAACAACCGUAAAAUAGUGGUGGUAUUUCACCGACGGCAGUGGAGCCAGCUGUCACUUACUCUACACCUCUCAGGUCAUUUACAAAGUUGGACUAGCUAGAGUCAAGUUCAACAAAAAUCUUCUUUUUCAACUAAUUCCGCCAAUCCCGUUUUCUUGGCUGUGGUUUCACCAAAUAGUAUAUGUGGAUAGUAAAAAAUCUAGUUAAUCCAUUCAGAAAUGUCAGGUAGAGUUGCAAUUAACACAUGUAAUAAUUUAGAUAUUCUGUAGUGCUUUUCUAUUUGCCACAAUGUGUUAUAAUCAACAACUCAGCAAUAUCAUAGACUCUAAUAUGUACAAAGGGCACUUCUCACCGAAUACACGGUGCAACAUCAGUGAACGUACGUUUGAUAGGCUUGCAUGUGGCUUGCAUAGCUUGAAUAAGAAACGACGAUAGAGCGAAAGAAAGAUGCAUGAAUAAUUAUUGGAAAUCGAUCUCUUCCGUAAUCAAAGUUGAUGGAAGCAAAUUGUCUCCAAGCUAUCGAGAGAAAUCUAAGGUGGUAAUUAAUGAAACGAGGUAUUUAAGUAUAAGAACCAAAAUGGAAUCAAAAUUUGUUGAUCAACCCAAGAGGAUCAAAGAAGCUUGUUCAUUUGAUACUUAACAUCUUGCUAGCUAGUGACUGCUUAUGUUGUUGCACGUUAUAAGUUCUUAAAAAAGCAUUAUAGUAGUUAAAAAUAAAAAGAUAAUUUGAUCUAUAUAAGAUAAUUUCCUCUCGUGAUCGAAUUGGAUGUGGCGCAUACCACCGCCGAAAAUAUUAUAACCGGAUUACGAGGUUUAGCCCUAUUAUAUUUAAUAUAUAGGGCUAUUAUAAAUCCUAGGGUACUAUCAUAUUAUUCUCCCUUUUUAACCCCUAAUAUUUUCAUCAGGCUCAAGCACACUCACAAGCAUUAGGUGAUGUGAGACUCACUUUGCUAGCCUUAACCGAUAUUGUGAAGAGCCGUGCUCCACCUACAACGGCCGUUAGCCGGGGAGCUCACUCUACCCGCUAUAUGACUUAGCUCAGUCAACACUCAUCUCACACUUUCGUUUGGUGAUUGGUUCUGAUAUCAAAUAUGGAGCCCUACUUCCCAGCGGUUACCAUAGUUAGUUAAUUCGGAUUCGGCAAAAAUUCGGUACGGGUAUAAUUCGGAUAAAAUUCGUCUUUUAAUUUUUAAAUUCGUUGAAAANAAUUAAUCUAGUGCAUCUCAAAGUGCAAGGAAACCUAUAACUUGAAAGAAAAAGAAAGAUAUAUAAAGUUGUAAUUAAUAUAAAACAAUUGUUGUUAUUACAAAGUUGGACUAGCUAGAGUACUCAAGUUCAACGAAAAUCUUCUUUUUCAGCUAAUUCCGCCAAUUCCGUUUUCUUGGCUGUGGUUUCACCAAAUAGUAUAUGUGGAUGGUAAAAAUCUAGUUAAUCCAUUCAUGCGCAUUAGAAAUGUCAAAGUGAGUUGCAACACAUGCAAUAAUUUAGAUAUUCUGAAGUGCUUUUCUGCUUGCCACAACGUGUUAUAAUCAACAACUCAGCAAUAUCAUAGGCUCUACUAAUACGUACAAAGGGCGCUUCUCACCGAAUACACGGUGCAACAUCAGUGAACGAACGUUUGAUAAGCUUGCAUGUGGCUUGCAUAGCUUGAAUAAGAAACGACGAUAGAGCGAAAGAAAGAUGCAUGAAUAAUUAUUGGAAAUCCAUCUCUUCCGUAAUCAAAGUUGAUGGAAGCAAAUUGUCUCCAAGCUAUCGAGAGAAAUCUAAGGUGGUAAUUAAUGAAACGAGGUAUUUAAGUAUAAGAACCAAAAUGGAAUCAAAAUUUGUUGAUCAACCCAAGAGGAUCAAAGAAACUUGUUCAUCUGAUACUUAACAUCUUGCUAGCUAGUGACUGCUUAUGUUGUUGCACGUUAUAGUUCUUAAAAAAGCAUUAUAGUAGUUAAAAAUAAAAAAAUAAUUUCUAUAUAAUAUAAUUUCCUCUCAUGAUCGAAUUGGAUGUGGCGCUUCAUAAAAAUGCUAUAGCCGGAUUACGAGGUUUAGCCCUAUUAUAUCUAAUAUAUAGAAUUAUUAUAAAUUCUAGAGUACUGUCAUAUUAAUCUCUCUUUUUAAGUCCUAAUGUUCUCAUCGGGCUCAAGCACCCUCAGAAGCACUAGGUGAUGUGAGACUUAUCUUGCUAGUCUUAACCGAUAUUGUGGGGAGCCUUGCUCCACCUACAACGACCAUUAGCCGGGGAGCUCACUCUACCCGCUGUAUGACUUAGCUCAGUCGACACUCAUCUCACACUUCUGUCCGAUGAUUGAUUUUGAUAUUAAAUAUAGAGCCCUACUUCCCGACGAUCACCUAUCUUGGAAACCAUUUAGCUCUAACACUCUUAACUUUCUUAACCUCUUGAAUCUAGCCAUUGUCCAAAAUACUAUAGCCAAGUUACAAGAUUUAAGUCUAUUACAUCUAAUAUAUAUGAUUAUUUUAAAUCCUAGGAUAUCACAUUGGAGAUGAUGAUCACUCCCCGUACGUUAAAUGUUGAUUGGAGCAUAUGUUGUGAAAAAUCUACGGAGUGGUCCAAAAUGACUUGGAUGGUUUGUGAGAGUUGAGGCUUAUCUAUCAACACAAGAUGUGCAUGGUUAAAUUAAGGACCAUAUACUAUAACAAAAUUGAAUUUUAGUGGCGAUUAUUUUUUAAUAUUUUGAUAAUUAUAAUUAUCGCUAAAUAGUUUCGUAACAAUUAUGAUAAUUGCUGUUAUUGAUAGGGUCGGUAAAAGUUAUAAUGAUAUUUGUUUCGGCGGUUGGUAAAAGUCUAAAUACAUCGUUCCCGUUCAACGUCUCGUCCAACUCUUGUUAUACGAGGAUCGCUUGUACUUUAAUCUGCAACAAUUCAAAAUUGUUCUUACCGUCGAACCUCUCGAUUUCGAAUUUCGUGGCAAUCUCCAUUGAUCUCUCCUGGAGAUCAGUAACUUUAAGCUCUAAAAUCAAUUGUUGGGAAUCCGAUACUCGCCCUGACACCGAAUUUUGUGAAUCUGUAACCAGCUUCGAUACCAACUGUUGUUGAUCCGGUAUCGGAUGUUGAGAUUCUGCAACGGAAACGUCAAAUCGGAUUUUUACUAUAAACCCGUCUUCUUAGCAAAAACUGAUACAAUCACAAAAUAGAGAAAUACCAAACAGAAAAUAUACUGAUAAAGUAAAAUUUAUUAAAUAAAAAGAGAUUAUACUUAACUUCUCUUCUAUAAUAGAAUGGCUUCAAUCUGAGCUCUCGUUUUGAAUCUCUCUUACUAUUCUCUCGUCUUUUAUAAAGCUAAAUGAUAACCAUCUUUCUCUCUCACAUGCACCCGUGCACUAGGUGCAUGCAACCAUGGCCUAGCUUUCCUCGGAUAAGGCUCACUACAAUACUCAGCCAUACUACCUCUAUCACAAGAGAGACUUAAAGUUGGCCAUGUAUACUUCCUUCUUAAGCUCUUCAUCAAUAGAGCUAUAAAUAAACCAUAUAUCAAAACAUACGCGAAUCCUANUAUAUAUAUAUAAUGAGAGGGAGGUCCACCAUGGACCUCCCUCUCAUGUGGUCUACGAGGCCGAAGUGGCCUCGUGGACCACACAUGAUGUAUGCCUCCAAAAAGCCGUGAUUUUUACACUGUUCCACACUUCCACUUCCUCUUUUCCGCGGACGGCCUCGGGUGGAUCUGCCGCCGCGGCUCUUGCUCCCGGCACCGGCCAUGGCGGCGGAGGAGGAGGACGACGAGGCCGGAUCUGCCGCCGCGGCUCUUGUUCCCGGCGCCGGCCAGGGUGGCGGAGGAGGACGACGACGACCCGGACGAGCUCGGCGACAAGAGCGGCGACGACGCGACCCUCGGAUGCAAAUCCGCGACCGCAAGCACCGUUUUUUUGGGUGAAUCAUUCGCGAAUCGCGAAUAAUUCACGAAUAAUUAUUUUUGAGGAAGAAGACGUGUUUUUUUUCAAACUUUUCGAAAAAACACGGAGACGGACCGUUUAAUUUGUAUAUUAAAAAAUUUGCGAAUAAUUCGCGUAUUAAUCACGAAUUAACUAACUAAGGCGGUGACCUAUCCUAACAACCACUUAGCUCUAACACACUUAACUUUCAUAACCUCUUGAAUCUAACCACUAUCCAAAAUACUAUAACCGAGUUACAAGAUGUAAGUCUAUUACAUCUAAUAUAUACGAUUAUUUUAAAUCCUAGGAUAUCACAUUGGACAUGAUGAUCACUCCCCAUCAAAUGUUGAUAGGAGCAUAUGUUGUCUCCACAUAGGAAAAUCUACAUAGUGGUCCAAAAUGACUUGGAUGGUUUGUGAGAGUUGAGACUUAUAUAUCUAUCAACACAAGAUGUGCAUGGUUAUUAAAUUAAGGACCACAUACUACAACAAAAUUAAGUUUUAACGGUGAUUAUUUUUUAAUAUUUCGGUAAUUAUAAUUGUUACUAAAUAGUUUCGUAACAAUUAUGAUAAUUACCGCAAUUGAUAGGAUCGAUAAAAGUUAUAAUGGCAUUUGUUUCGGCAGUUAGUAAAAGUCUAAAUACGUCGUUCCCGUUCAACGUCCCGUCCAACUCUUGUUAUACAAGGAUUGCUUGUACUUUAAUCUACAACAAUUCGAAAUUAUUCUUGCCGUCGAACUUCUCGAUUUCGAAUUUUGUGGCCAACUUCAUCGAUCUCUCCCGGUGAUCAAUAACUUUAAACUCUGAUAUCGAUUGUUGGGAAUCCGGUACUCGCCCUGAUACCAGAUUUUGUGAAUCCGUAAUCAGCUCCGAUACCGACUGUUGUUGAUCCGAUACCCAAUGUUGAGAUUCUGAAAUGGAAGCAUCGAAUCGAAUUUUUACUAUAAAUCCGUCUUCUGCAAAAACUGAUGAAAUCAUAAAAGAGAGAAAAAUAAAACAGAAAAUAUGCGGAUAAAAUAAGAUUCAGUAAAUAAGAGGAGAUUACACCUGACUUCUCUUUUAUAAUAGAGUAGCUUCAAUCUGAGCUCUCUUUUUGAAUCUCUCAUACUAUUCUCUCGUCUUCUAUAAAGUUAAAUGAUAACUAUCUUUCUCUCUCACAUGCACCUGUUUACUAGGUACAUGCAACCAUGGCCUAGCUUUCCUCUGGUAUGGCUGAAACGCCCUCAAUAGUCCCACAUCGGAUCGGAUACUGAUUCCGAUCAGUUUAUAUGAGGCCUACACGCUAACAAUAAUAACUGGACUUAAGCAUUUUGGGCCGGUGGUUUGGGCCCAACGAGUUAUUGUUGCUAGCGGAGUGGGUCGUUGCAUUUGGUAUCAGAGACGAAUACCGGUCAGAAAUGUGAGAGCUAAGUGCUAUGCGGGACAAAGUGCUACACUAACGUAUUUGGUGGGAGCCACCUCUUGAACCCGUAGGAGCCAUCUCUAGAAUCUCACAUCACCUGGUAAUUCUGGUCCUACUCUGUGUGUCUGUGAUCUGGUUUGGACCCGACGAGGACGUCAGGGUCUAAAACAGGGGGAGUUUGUAACGCCCCAAUAGUCCCACAUCGGAUGGGAUACUGAUUCCUAUCAGUUUAUAUGAGGCCUACACACUAAUAAUAAUAACUGGACUUAAGCAUUUUGGGCCGGUGGUUUGGGCCCAACGAGUUAUUGUUGCUAGCGGGUCGGGUCGUUGCAAUUGGUAUCAGAGCCGAAUACCAGCCGGAAGUGUGAGAACUAAGUGCUANAACAAAAAGCAAGCUAUCGAAAAUAUUGUAAUAUUUCUUUCUUUUUUUUUUCUUUUUUUUUUUGUUUUGAGUACUUAUUUUCAUCUUCGUUAUAAAUUUAGAAGCAAUUGCUUAUAUACUCUUAAAAAGUUUCUAACUUUCUGAUUUGCUCCUCUUAAAAGGCUAAUAUUAAAAAUAUUCUUUUUACGUUCCAAUUUAUUUCAAAUAUAUCCCUAAAGUUAAAUUAUGUUAAUGAAUUAUUAGCAAUAAUUAUUAUUAUUUCUAUAAAAUUACUAUUUUAUCUUUUCAAAUAUACCCUUCUACCAUUAUUGACUUUUUUUAUUUGCCCGUAAGUCAAGAGCACAAAAAGUAUUUUGAUUUUUGGUCUUUGCAAAUAUACUUUAUAUCAUCACCAACAUUUCUUAUUUGCCCUUAAGUCAAGGGCAAAAGAGGCAUUUUGAUUUUUUUUAAACUUUGAUAGAUAUUUAAUUCACGUUUAAUCCAAGUUAACUUAACGGAUGGUAAUUAUAAUGAUAUUUUAAAAUAACGGAGGAAAGUGAGAGGUAUAUUGGAAAGAGAAAAAAAAAAGAUGGGUAAAUGAGAUAUUUUUAAAAUUUUGAGAGGUAUAUAGACAAUUAUUCCAUAAAAUUUAUAUGGUGUUACUUGGUGAAAUAUACAUAUAAUUGGUUAAAAGAGUCUUUCAUAUGAUAGUACAUAUUGGGCGUGUUUGGUUCGAAGUCGAAAUCGGAAUCAGAAUCGGAAUCGAAAUAAGCUGAAAUCGGAAUCGGAAUGACUCAUUACCUAAUUCUGUUUGGUUCAUCACCUGAAUCGGAAUCGGAAUAAAUCAUUCUCAUUGUCGGUGUUUGGUUUAGAUAGGUAUAAAAAAUAUAAUCAAAUUAAUAUACUAACUUUAUCUUUAUAACAUAUUAAUUUAAAUUCAAAUUGAAAAUUAAAAUAUUAAAAAUUUACAUCAAAAUUUUGAAAUAAUGUCAAAAUUUUAAAUCUAUUUUUUUAAAAAAAAUUAGACUUUGAAGUUCAACGGAUAAUUCAAAAUAUAAAACUAAAUUUUGAUUUAUUCAAAUUCAAACUUAAAAUUACAGUUUAAAUUUUAAUUUGAAUCCAUAAUUUAAUUUAAGUUUNUUAUAUGAGGCCUACACGCUAAUAAUAAUAACUGGGCUUAAGCAUUUUGGGCCGGUGGUUUAGGCCCAACGAGUUAUUGUUGCUAGCGGGUCGGGUCGUUGCAAUUGGUAUCAGAGCCGAAUACCAGCCGGAAGUGUGAGAACUAAGUGCUAGGCGGGACAAAGUGCUACACUAACGGGUUUGGUGGGAGCCACCUCUUGAACCCGUAGGAGCCACCUCUAGAAUCUCACAUCCCGUGGUAAUGGUCCUGGUCUGUCUGUCUAUGAUCUGGUUUAGACCCGACGAGGACGUCAGGGUCUAAAUAGGGGGAGUUUAUAAUGCCCCCAAUAGUCUCACAUCGGAUGGGAUACUGAUUCCGAUCAGUUUAUAUGAGGCCUAUACGCUAACAAUAAUAAUUGGACUUAAGCAUUUUGGGCCGGUGGUUUGGGCCCAACGAGUUAUUGUUGCUAGCGGAUCGGGUCAUUGAAUUUGGUAUCAGAGACGAAUACCAGCCGGAAAUGUGAGAGCUAAGUGCUAUGCGGGACAAAGUGCUACACUAACGGAUUUGGUGGGAGCCACCUCUUGAACCCAUAGGAGCCACCUCUAAAAUCUCACAUCACCUGGUAAUUCUGGUCCUACUCUGUGUGUCUGUGAUCUGGUUUGAACCCGACGAGGACGUCAGGGUCUAAAACAGAGGGAGUUUGUAACGCCCCAAUAGUCCCACAUCGGAUGGGAUACUGAUUCCGAUCAGUUUAUAUGAGGCCUACACGCUAAUAAUAAUAACUGGGCUUAAGCAUUUUGGGCCGGUGGUUUAGGCCCAACGAGUUAUUGUUGCUAGCGGGUCGGGUCGUUGCAAUUGGUAUCAGAGCCGAAUACCAGCCGGAAGUGUGAGAACUAAGUGCUAUGCGGGACAAAGUGCUACACCAGCGGGUUUGGUGGGAGCCACCUCUUGAACGCGUAGGAGCCACCUCUAGAAUCUCACAUCCCCUAGUAAUGGUCCUGGUCUGUCUGUCUAUGAUCUAGUUUAGACCCGACGAGGACGUCAGGGUCUAAACAGGGGGAGUUUGUAACACCCCCAAUAGUCCCACAUCGGAUGGGAUACUGAUUUCGAUCAGUUUAUAUGAGACCUAUACGCUAACAAUAAUAACUGGACUUAAGCAUUUUGAGCCGGUAGUUUGGGCCAAACGAGUUAUUGUUGCUAGCGGAUCGUGUCGUUGAAUUUGGUAUCAGAGACGAAUACCAGCCGGAAAUGUGAGAGCUAAGUGCUAUGCGGGACAAAGUGCUACACUAACGGAUUUGGUGGGAGCCACCUCUUGAACCCAUAGGAGCCACCUCUAAAAUCUCACAUCACCUGGUAAUUCUGGUCCUACUCUGUGUGUCUGUGAUCUGGUUUGAACCCGACGAGGACGUCAGGGUCUAAAACAGAGGGAGUUUGUAACGCCCCAAUAGUCCCACAUCGGAUGGGAUACUGAUUCCGAUCAGUUUAUAUGAGGCCUACACGCUAAUAAUAAUAACUGGGCUUAAGCAUUUUGGGCCGGUGGUUUAGGCCCAACGAGUUAUUGUUGCUAGCGGGUCGGGUCGUUGCAAUUGGUAUCAGAGCCGAAUACCAGCCGGAAGUGUGAGAACUAAGUGCUAUGCGGGACAAAGUGCUACACCAGCGGGUUUGGUGGGAGCCACCUCUUGAACGCGUAGGAGCCACCUCUAGAAUCUCACAUCCCCUAGUAAUGGUCCUGGUCUGUCUGUCUAUGAUCUAGUUUAGACCCGACGAGGACGUCAGGGUCUAAACAGGGGGAGUUUGUAACACCCCCAAUAGUCCCACAUCGGAUGGGAUACUGAUUUCGAUCAGUUUAUAUGAGACCUAUACGCUAACAAUAAUAACUGGACUUAAGCAUUUUGAGCCGGUAGUUUGGGCCAAACGAGUUAUUGUUGCUAGCGGAUCGUGUCGUUGAAUUUGGUAUCAGAGACGAAUACCAGCCGGAAAUGUGAGAGCUAAGUGCUAUGCGGGACAAAGUGCUACACUAACGGAUUUGGUGGGAGUCACCUCUUGAACCCGUAGGAACCACCUUUAGAAUCUCACAUCACUUGGUAAUUCUGGUCCUGCUCUGUGUGUCUGUGAUCUGGUUUGGACCCGACGAGGAUGUCAGGGUCUACACGCUAAUAAUAAUAACUGGGCUUAAGCAUUUUGGGCCGAUGAUUUGGGCCCAACGAGUUAUUGUUGCUAGCGGGUCGGAUCGUUGCAAUGGCACACUACAAUACUCCGCCGUACUACCUCUAUAUAUCACAAGAGAGACUUGAAGUUGGAGCUUUCCAUUAAUAGAGCUAUAUAUAAAUUAAGCUUAUAUCAAAACAUACCCGAAUCAUAGUCCAAUUAGGAUUUCUGCUCUAAAUAAUAUUUAAAUUUAGAUUUAGUUUAUCUCCAAUAGAUUUAAAUAUUUAUUCUAAUCUAUUUAGAUUUAUACUCUAAUUAAUAUUUAAAUUUUAAUCUAUCUCCAAUAAAUAUAAAUAUUAAUUUUUAUCAGAUAAUUAGAAAAUUAACUACAAAUCUAACUAAAUCCUAACAAUAUCUAAUAUAUAUGACUAUUUUAAAUUAAUCCUAGCUAGGAUAUCAUGCACAUUGGAGAUGAUGAUCACUCCCCAUCAAAUGUUGAUUGGAGCAUACAGGAAAAUCUACAGAGUGGUCCAAAAUGACUUGAAUGCAUGGUUUGUCACAGUUGAGGCUUAUCUACCAACACAAGAAGUGUGAGAUCCCUGGUGUUUGACUGUGGAGGCUUGUCGACAGUUCUAGAGAGUGUCGGGACAAGCCCGAGUCGCGUUGGCGUCAAAUAGACGUAAAACGGACUCCGUGCGACGCGAGGGCAGCUUAUCGCGAAGAAUUCUGCAAAACAGCAGCAUUCUCUGCUUGCUGUACCGGUACAAGCUUAGUGGCUGUACCGGUACAACCAGCGCGAAAUAGCUUAACUGCUCUCGGGUUGGCUCUUGUNAUUUGAAUCCAUAAUUUAAUUUAAGUUUUAAAAAAAUUUGAAUAAAACUUUAUAUAAAUUAAAAUUUAGUUUAAAUUCAACUUCAUAAGUUAGAUUCGAAAUACUUGAUGAAAUUUUAAUUUUUAAUUCAAAUUCAAAUUAAAAUUUAAAAUUAAAUAUUUAAUUUCUAAAUUUAAACUCGUAUUUUAAUUAAAAAAGUUGAAAAAAUAAAUUUAAUCCGAAUAAAUAUCCAUUCUGUCCAGAUUCAAUUUUCAAUCUGACCUCUUAAGCCGGAUUGGAAAAAUGGAUGAUGGGAGAGUAUCGAUUCUCAUCCCACUCGAAAAUCGGAAUCGGAAUGGGACUCCUUCGUACCAAACACCCACAAACAAAUUCGCCCAUUCCAAUUCCGAUUCUUGGGUAAAAAAAAGCGAACCAAACACGCCCAUAUAUACUGUCAUACAUUUUGCUGGUUUAUUAGUGCUUCAUUAGUUGUUGCAUUUGGGCAUUAAUUUCAAGCUUAAAACUAACACCAAGUUAGUAAGUGAAUGAUAAAAUAAUUAUUGCAAUAAGUUCUUAAAAACCAUUGAUAAAAGUUUCAAAAUAAAGAUCUAAACCAUGGAAAGUGUUUUACAACAUAAAAAAGAUGUACAUACAAAAAUUCAUAAUUAUUGGAAAACCCACAACUUGAGUUUCCAUCAUUUUUCUUUUUUGAAAAUUCUGGGUUGUUGGUUUAACAACAAUCGAUGUAUAGAAAAUUUAGAUCUUCUAAAUUUAAAUUUUUAUUUGUGUAAAAAUUUAUGCAUUAUUGAAAACUUUAUGGUCAAAUAACUUAGAACUCACUUAAUCUUUAGCUCAAACUAAAAAACUACAAUGAUAGAAACUAUGGCAGUCCACCUCUUCAUAACGAAAUUUUCCUUCCAUAAUUACCGUAUUAUUUUUAUCUCCUAGCCGAGUACUUUAUAUGGCACAACUUUAUGAAUGAACUUAAACUGUAUAUUCAUUCGUUAAUAGACGAAACUUUAUGUCUAUUAAAUGGUCCAACACAGCUGCAUUAAACUUUAAUUUUAUUGAAAGAAAAUAAGUAUUACAAUUUUAUACAUCGAAAGAACUAAUCAAACCCAUAUUUCUAACAUGAUCCGUAUAUGACCCAGGUGCCAGCCCCUUGGUCAUUAGGUCUGCAAUCAUACACUUGGUACUGAUGUAUUCAAUUGUAAUAUAACCUUCAUUUAUCUUCUUUCUCACAACAAGAAAUUUAAUGUCCAAGUGUUUACACCCCGCUGUAAUCUCGUUGUUAUUGGCAAAGAAAACCGCAGCUGAACUAUCACAGAAAAUUUUUAUUGAAUGAGCAAUGGAGUCCACAAUUCUUAAGUCUGUGAUAAAAUUCCUUAGCCAAAUAGCCUGUGAUGUGGUUUCGUAACAUGCAAUAUACUCUGCAGCCAUGGUCAAAAGAGCAAUAACACUUUGUUUGCUGCUCUUCCAUGAUAUCGCUCCACCAGCAAGCAGAAAAAUAUACCCAGUCGUAGACUUUCUGGUAUCUGGGCAUCCAACAAAAUCGGAGUCCGAGUACCCGAUCAGCUCCAAGUAAUCUGAUCUCCUGUAAAUCAGCAUAUGAUCCAAAGUUUCCUUCAAAUACCUCAUAACCUGCUUAGCAGCCUUCCAAUGCUCCAUACCUGGAUUACUUUGAUACCUGCCAAGUAAUCCAACAACAAAAGCAAUAUCCGGACGUAUGCACGUCUGUGCAUACAUAAGAUUACUAACUGCAGAGGCAUAGGGUAUGCUUUCCAUCUGUUCAAUUUCUAAUUGGUUCUUUGGACACUGAAAAGCAUUAAGCUUAUCCCCUUUCUGGACAGGAGCAAUACUGGGCUUACAAUUAUGCAUUUCAAAAUUUUUCAAAACUUUCUUUAUGUAGGCCUUUUGAGAUAGACCGAGUAAACCUUUAUGUCCAUCCCUUUUGAUUUCAAUACCAAGAACAUAUGAGGCCUCACUUUCAAAAUUUUGGAAAAAAAAUUUUUUAGUGCUAUGCAAUAGCCCAAGAUCAUUACUGGCAAACAAAAUAUCAUCAACAUAAAGGACUAAGAAAAUUAUUUUACUCCCACUAACCUUUAGAUAAAUACAUUGAUCAACAAUAUUUUCCUUAAAACCAAAGGUCAAAAUAGUUUGUUUAAAUUUUAAAUACCAUUGUCGGAGGCCUGCUUUAGUCUAUAUAUUGAUUUCUUUAAUUUGCAUACCAAAUGCUCCUUUCCCUUUUGCAAGAAUCCUUCAGGUUGAUUCAUAUACACCUCUUCAUAGAGAUCCCCAUUUAAAAAAGCAGUUUUGACAUCCAUCUGAUGUAGCUCGAGAUCAAAAUGAGCAACCAGAGCCAUAAUAAUACGGAAAGAUUCCUUUCUAGAUACUAGAGAGAAAGUCUCUUUAUAGUCAAUAUCUUCUUUCUGAGUGAACCCUUUUGCCACAAGUCGGGCCUUAUAUCUCUCUAUGUUACCUUUGGAAUCCCAUUUGAUUUUAUAAACCCACUUGCAUCCUACGGGUUUAACUCCUAUAGGUAGCUCAACAAGAUCCCAUACCUUAUUGUGGUUCAUGGAUUCAAUCUCAUUAUUCAUGGCAUUGUACCAUUCCGUAGAAUUACUGCUAUUUAUGGCUUCAGAAAAACUAAGAGGAUCAGCUAAACUCUGGCCAUUCUCAUAAAGAUAGACGAUAUAAUAACUGAAUAUAGCCGGUCUUCUCUGUCUUGAGGAUCUUCUUAAAUCUAUCUAAUUAUCCACUUGUACAUCUUGAUGUGAAUUAUCCACUUGUACAUCUUCAUAUGAAUUAUCAAUGAUAGGUUCACAAUCACUUUGUGGUUCCAAAACGACUUGUUGUUCUACUGGAAUAGGAACCAUCAAAUCGUGAGAGAUAAUAGUGGAUCUGUCAUGUACAGAAUCCGAAUGCUCUUGAAUUUCCUCAAAUUCAAUGAAUCGAGAUUCAAAGCUCCUACUAAUUGCACUAUCCUCAAUAAAUCGAACUGUUUUAGUUUCUGCAAUCUUUAUAGGAAGUGAUGGACAGUAAAACUUAUUCCCCUUGGAUCUUUCUGAAUAACCAAUAAAAUAUCCUGAUAUGGUUCUAAGAUCUAAUUUUUUUAUUUGUGGAUCAUACAAUUUGGCCUCAGCUUGACAACCCCAUGUAUGAAAUGUCUUAAGCUGGAUUUCCUACCUGUCCAAAGCUCAAAAGGAGUCUUAGUGACAGCUUUAGUAGGGACCCGAUUAAGAAUAUACAGGGCAGCUUUGAGUGCCUCACUCCACAAUGAUAUCGGAAGGGUAGAAUUACUAAUCAUACUCUUGAGCAUAUCAAUUAAUGUGCGAUUCUUUCUUUCAGCAACACCAUUCUGAUCAGGUGUCCCUGGCAUGGUGUACUGUGGAAUAAUUCCGCACUGCUCCAGAAACUUAGUAAAAGGCCCAGGGACUUGGCCUUUAUAUGUUUGUCUACCAAAAUAUUCACCACCCCUAUCUGAUCUGACUAUUUUUAUCCUUUUCUCGAGUUGAUUCUCUACUUCAGCCUUAUAUGCCUUAAAGGCAUCUAAUACUUCAGAUUUUUCUUUAAGUAGAGAUAGCCAUAUUGAGAGUAGUCAUCAGUAAAUGUGAUAAAAUAUUUAUGGCCGGUAAUUAAAAUAAGAAGAGGUCCGCAUAUAUCAGUAUGAAUCAAUUCUAAUGUUCCAUCACAUCUUUUAGCACUUUUGGAAAAAGUUUUGGUCUACUUUCCCUUUAUGCAGUCCACACAUAUUCCAAAGUCAGAGAAGUCCAAAUCAUCUAAAAUGCCUUCUCUAAUUAACCUUUGGAUUCUCUAUUUUGAGAUGUGUCCUAUCCUCUUAUGCCAUAACAUGGAUAACCUUUCAUUAUUAAUGCCACGUUUUGAUCCAACAUUUUCGUGCAUGGUAAGAAGGAUUUCACUAUAUGAAUCAUCCAAAAAUAAUUUAUACAGAUUAUUUUUCAAAACACCAGAGCCAACUAUCUGAGAUUUAUAGGAUAAAGAAAAAACUUUAUUAUUAAAACUGAAACCAUAUCCCAAUCCAACAAGUUUCGAAAUAGAAAUUAAAUUCUUAGAAAAAUUUGGAACAUAAAAUGUAUCAACUAAAUCCAAAAUGUGACCAGUAGAAAGAACUAAUCUAAAUGUUCCUACAAAUUCUACUUUAGUUGGAUUUUCUUCAGCUGUAUAGAUAGUCGCUUCAUCUUUACUGGGUUUUUUCCGAUUCUGAAAUCCCUGCACGGAAUUCGCCACGUGGCAUGUGGCACCAGAGUCAAUCCACCAAGUAUUAGACGAAACUGAAACUAAAUGCAACUCAUGUAUCAAAACCAGAAAUUUACCUUUCUUCUAGAGCCAUUUCUGAUACUUUUGGCAGUCCUUCUUUAUAUGACCAUUUUUCUUACAAAAGAAGCACUUGGGAGUCCAAUUACUUGAUUGGCCUUGUGAGCCAGAUGGAACUUCUUUGUUCUUUCGUUUUGAGUCAUUCUUGCCCUUGCCAUUCUUAGCACGCUUUAUUUGUCUCUUCUGAGAAACAAAGUUGACUGCAUUUUGUUUCUCUUGUAUUAAUCUACCUUCCUCUUGCACACACAUGGUCAGCAAUUCAUUAAUUGACUAUUUAUGUUUAUGUGUGUUAUAAGAGAUCUGAAAUGGUCCGUAUUCAGAUGGCAAAGAGUUCAAAAUAAAGUGCACUAAGAAUGAAUCAGAGAUGGUUACUUCAAGUGCGGUGAGUUGCGCUGCAAUAUCUCGCAUUUCCAUAAUAUACUCGUGAAUCGAGCCAUUUCCAAAGUACUUCAUGGAAGACAGUUUAUUCAUUAAGGUGCUAGCCAAGGCUUUAUCGGAGCUGACAAAUUGCUCCUCAAUGGCCUUUAGAUAAUUCUUGGCUUUAUCACAUUUUAGGAUUGAUCCCCUUAUGCUUUUUGAUACCCUUGACUUCAUGAGCAUCAAACUUAAGCGGUUGGAUCGCUCCCACUUUUCCUGCACGGAUUCCUGCUGUGGGGUCAUUGGCCCCACUAUCUUAGGCGGUUGUUCAGCGCGCAGAGCCAAAUUUAAAUCCAUAUAGCCCAAAAUGAACAUAAUCUGUUCUUUCCACUCUGAAUAAUUAGAACCAUUAAGUAUAGGAACAGAUUCACCAAUAGGAACAGAAAAUGGAUUCAUAGCUGAAAAAUAAAAUGCAUGUUUUAUCAAUAAAAUACCACAUCAAAAUUACCACACCAAAAUUAGAGAAAUACACUUUAUAUGACAUCACAACCCCUCCUUUGGGAGCAGAAUUAUGAAUAUAAGUAUUUUUCGUUCUUUAUGCAUAUGCUUUAUAUGACAUCACAACCCCUCCUUUGGGAGCAGAGUUAUGAGCAUAAAUAUGCAAUCUCUUUUUCAGAGACUAAUUUAAACUUUCUGCAGGUCUUAGUAAUUUCAAAUUUUCUAUAUAGAAAAAUUGUCAGCUUUGGCCGGGCAAAUUUCUCCAAACGAGUUAUAAGAAAAUUACAAUCCUACACCACCCAUGUACCUUCAUGUCUAGACCUCCUUUGGGAGCAGACUAAAUAUAAUAUUAUGGUGCAAUUUCGCAUGCACUUCUUUAAAGCAAUUAAUUUAUCUUUUCUUCCGGUCGGGGCCGCUUUGGCUUGCACCCGUAUAGUUGAAGCAAUAAAUUAUUCUGACUUAGUGCUGCAUAAUUAACAUGAAAAUUAUCCGAAAGCGCUACUUUAAAGUAAAAUAAAUUAUUAUUUCUUUUAAUUAGGGCCGUUUUGCCUUGCACCUAACUAAUCAAAAUAAUAAAUUAAUUCAACUUAGCGCCAAUAUUAAAUAAUCAAAAUUAAACAAUUAUGAUUAUUUAAAUUUUCAUGUUUAUCCGGUCAAAAUAAGAAUAUGAUUGCGAUAAUUUAAAACAUAAUAUCGCAAUUAAAUUUUAAACUUUAUAUAUUCUAAUUUGACCACAAAUUUAAAACAAACAAAUUUAUGAUAAAUUAAUAUUGUAUGCAAGAUUAAAUCUUUAUGUGAACGGAUUCUUUAUGUUCACGAAUGCAUUAUUAAAGAUAAAGACUCCAACGGAUUGAUUCAGAUAAAUAAAAGAAUUUAAGUGCGUAAUGGGCUUAAAAUCGGACACCUAGUAAGUACAAAUUGGCAAAAAGGAGCCCAAUAAUUAAUUACGGGUUCAAUCUUAUGUUGCACUAAUGAAUUGGCUAGUCAACUUAACCCCAAAAAAAAUGUUUGACCGAUUCAGAAGCUAGCCAAAUCAUUGAUGCGGCGUGCAUUAAUGCGGCAUGCAUAACAUAGUAAUUUUCAUAUGGGCCGAUUCAAUAAGUAUAAUAAAAUAAAAUCAAUUUAAAAUAAAUUGAUCCUAUCCGUCAUCUUCUUCUACUAAUAUGGUUUCGUCGAAAACAUAAAACCCAAAACAAAGUCAACCCACACUACAACAAAAUUAGGUUAUAGGGACACAUGUUUAGAACACUUUUGAGUAAGUGUCCCAUUUAUGCUAAAACUUAAAAACACAUCUACUAAUGCCUAAAUAUAAUGCUCAAUCCAACCAAAAAUAAAAGAUUACUCUACUCAACCCACCACACCCAGUCUAUUUGGCCCGAUUACAAACAAAAAAGAAAAAAAAAAAUCAAUUACCAUCUUUUCUUCUCUCUUCACUCAAUCCACUGAAAUUCUAAACGAAGAGCCUUUACUGUCGUCCUCCUCGGCCACCGCAGCCAACGAGAUAGAGUUUCGGCGGUUGCUAAAUACUUACAUAAGUGUUGGUAAAUUAGCAGCACUCUUUUAGGUUAUAACGACACUCUUUAACUGUCACUAUAUACCUAGCUUACCCACAUAUAGCAACACUUUUUAAAAGUGUCGGUAAUUUUAGCUAGCAGUACUUUUUUGACAUGUACCUACAUUUAAAAGUGUCGCUAUAAACCGUUUUUAUUGUAGUGCCAUGCCACAUUAGACAUGAAGAUGUCACCGCGUGAGAGCAAGAGCCCCAAGUCACGACAUCUUACAGGUCAAAACAAAUGAACACCAAUUUGAAGAAGAUGAAGAAUAAUUUAUACAUUAUGCAUGGCCGAAUUAAAUCUGGCCAUGAUAUUAAAUCGCAAGAUACUUUUCAUAUUUAAUUCUAAAAUUCAUCAUAAUUCAAUCCGACCAAGAAUGCCUACAAUAUUAAAUUUAUCGUUCUGGCUCUGAUACCAAUUGAUAGAAUAUCAAGGUAUGUAAAAUAAAUAGAAAAUUAAAUACAUACCAAAAUCCAGGAUCAAAACAAGAAUAUAAGAUAACUCACAGAGCGCCAUGAAGAAGAAGUUCUUGAUCAAUCCUCCGGAAGCGUAAAGUCCGGCUAUGAUCUGAAAGUCACGAACCGAACUUGGGUGAUUUGGUUUCUCCUCCUAUCUCAGGCACUCUACCCGUAUGGUGUGGAAUCGAUGGUAAUUCUUCACCAGAAAGCGCAUGAGAAGCUGGCAGGACCAAUACCCCUUUAUAUAGAGUCCAGAUUGACUUCCCAUCAAAGUCUAAUUAGAAUUCUAUUUAAACAUUGAAAUAGAUGGGAUAGGAAUAAAAUAUGCCAUAUCAAGUAGUUCUAUAUCUGUUAGGAUUGACCUUUAUCUAUAGCAAAUCCUAAUUAAAUAUGAUUAAUUGGGCCACAAUAUAUGGAAAUCCUAACAAUAUAUGCAUACAUAUAUGUGUGUAUGGUAAAAAUGUAUAUACAAAAUUUGCUUGAGUUAUUGAUCAUUUUGAUUUAAGUAUCCAAUCUUUCAAUAUAUUUGAUUUAAAUUAUUUGAUGUCUUUUCAGACACAAAAUUUAAGCUAAUUGCUUAAUUUUAUAAGUUUAAGGUUACAUAAAUUACAUAAAAUAUACUAGCUAAUUAUAAACCUGUAAUGAUAAAUGAUGCAUUCAAAUUUUGAAGUUAAAAAAUUACUAAUCGGCUCAAAUCAAAUAAAGUAAAAGGUCAGGUGGUAAAGAAUUACCUUUGAACAUAUUCAUUAAAUUAAAAAUCUAUGGUUCAAAAAUAAGAAAAAUAUGAUAUCUCAGGAUUUGAAGUAGUUCUACGUACAAGGUAUAAUAAGAAUAAAUCUUUUAAUCCGACCAUAACAUUUUGAACAGUGGAUAUGUCCAAGAGUUUAAGAUCGUUAAACGUGUCAAAAUUAGAGUAGUUUUAUAAUAGAUGACCUCCUGAAAAGUAGGACCAUCGCAGUUGGUAUCAGAACCAAUCACCAAUCGAAAGUGUGAGAUAAGUAUCGUCUGAGCCUGAAUCCUACAAUGAGUGGAGCGUUACUCUCCAUAAGAUCAGCUAAGGCUAUCGAGAUAAUUAAGCCUUACAUCGCUCGGUGCUUGUGAGCCUGACGAAAACCUUAAGACUUAAAGAAGAGAAAAUGUGGUCAGCACUCCCGGAUUAGUAGUAGUUCUACAUAUAUAAGAUAUGAUAGGAUUAAACAUCUUAAUCCGAUUAUAUUAUUUCGAAUAGUGACUAGAUCCAAGAUGUUCAGAACAUUUAACGUGGUACAACUAAAGUAAUUUUACAACGGAAAAAGCAGGGUAUCACAAAAAUAAAAAUAAAAAAACAAACGAGCUUAUCCAACGCUACAUAGGGACACAUUUGGCUCAGCUACAUAAUAAUGCUAAGCGUGACAAAAUGUGCUCUAAAUCGACCAUAAGUCUAAAAGCUAGAUAGGGGCACUCAAGUUUUUUUUUUUUUUUUUUUCCUGGUGUGUUACAGUAUAUUGAUUGCUGAAACAUUUUACACCACAUAUAAUAAUCUAUUGGAAGAUUCGGUAUACACCUGUCAAUGUUUUGUGGGCUCUAGUGUACUCAGUGAAAAUGUAUAAGAAGUCAAUUAUUACUUUUUUGAUGUGACUUUACAAAACUCUAUUUUACUAUGUAACUCAUAAAAAAAUUAAACAUUAAAGAACACUUUCUUUUGAUGUUUAAUGACGAUUAAAAGUAUCUCAAAAUAGUCUAACGUCAUGUCAUAUGUGAAUACAUUGACAAAUUAAUAACUCCGAUAAAUUCUUUAUGCUUUUGUCCUUUCAAUAUUUAGAAAUUAUAUUAUCGUGUUAAUAAAAGUAUGAAAUGGAUAAGACAGAGCAUACAAAUGUGUACAAUAUGCAAGAAAUAAUAUAUCUUUGAAGUGCGAACACGCUAAUGUCAUGUCGAAUAAGUCAAAAACUUUGAAAUUUUUAUAUGGCAAACUUAAGAACUCGAGGACCAAAAUAAAAUUGGACAAAUUUGUAGGGACCAGAGCGCAAUUUAGCCCAAACUAUUGAGAGAUGCACAAAACUUGCUAUUAUGAAAGGCCACCUAAUUCUCCUUGGUCCCUAUUUUCAUUUGUUGUGGUUUUUUUGUGACAAUUAAUAAAAUCCAUUAAUAUCACUACAAUAAAAUAUGUAUUAGAUGAUAUUUUUUAGACGACAUUUUAUUUUAGUGUCUUCAAUAUUUGACAUGUGUCGACACCAUAAUUAAAUAUCGCCGAUAAAUAUAUUUUUAUCAAACAUUGAUAAAAUUUUUUCGACAUCAUAUUAAAGCGAAAGUAUCUUUAAAUGUAGAUUUAUUGCAGUUAAUUUACAAUGGUGCACAUGGCCUGUGUUGUAUAUGGGCAAUAAUUUCUACAAAAUUGUAUAGUACAAAGUGUGCAUCAUGUAUAUAUCAUUCUUAGAAAUAAGUUUUUUUAUUUCUAAAAUAAUUAGUUAUCCUGAGAUAUAUAAAAAUAAGUUCAAAAUUUUGUUCCAUUAAAGAUUUUUUUUAUUUUUAAGAAUAGAUAAAAGCAUGUUUGGUAGUUAUCUCAAGAAUAAUAGAAAAUAAUGACAAAACUAUAUAUAAAUAAUGUAAGCUAUUAUAUUUUAACAAAGUAUAUGUUAUUAUACAUGCUAUUUAUUAUAAUAAUAAUAGUAGUAUUAUUGCUACUAAUAAUAAUAAUAAUAAUAAUAAUAAUAAUUAUUAUUAUUAUUAUUAUAAAUAAAUAUAUUAUUAUUAUUAUUUAUUUUAUUAGCUAAAUAUAAGCGUGAUUAUACAUUUCUCUUACAUUCACCAUUUUUAAUUAACUAGAUACAAGCAUGAGAAUAGUCCUUUUUUUUUCCCUAAAAAGGUAGAAUGAUUGUUUCCAAAUUAUUUUUAGAAUUAUCUAGAAUAAUUUUUGAUUUGAUCAGAAUAGUUGUCCCGAUCAUUUUUUUUAGGAUAUUAGCAGAAUAAUAGAGAUAAACUUUGUUGUCCCCGGUUUAUUUUCAUAUCUAACAUAGCCAUAUGUAUGGAAUUAACCAAAAACCUUGAUGAAAUUGGCCACAUAUAUAGUUGAUUUAAUGAGACUAUUGUUCUUAUUUUUGGUUUAAAAAUAGAAAUGAGUAGCAUGAUUUUAAUCUAUUAUUAGUGUCUAUUUAAAAUAAGAAAGAGAUUUAGUUAUAUAUUAAGUGCUAUUAGGUUUUGCAAACGAUAUAAUUAGGUUUAGCAUUGUCAAAACAAAUUCUAAGCUAUUUAAACUCUAUCUGUUCCAAAAAGUCCUGAGUUCAAUUUUUUAGAUCCAUGUGGCAUGAUUUAUCUGAUAUUCACCAUGCACACACGCAAUGGUGUAAAGAUAUAUUCUGAGCCACAAUUUUAUGCAUUAAUGUAAGGAAAUAAUAUGACUCAAAUUUUAGAUAAUUUUUCGAAAAAAUAAACUCAACUUGAAUAUUUUCCUCUCAUUAGACUCAAUGUAGAUAUUGCCUUUGAGAGAUUUGGAAAUAACAAAAUGAUUUGCUCAACAAAAAAAAAAAAAAAAAAAAAAAAACAACAAACACACAACAACACCAUACACCAAAAAGGUCUUUUUGUGGCAAUUAUUUAGCGGUGAUUAUCAAACGGCCGCUAUUACUAUUAUUUUAUUACACCUUUAGCGGCAAUUAUUUUAAAUAUUAGUUUCAAACUAAAUAUUUAUAUAUUAAUAUAUCUAAUUCAAUCCAGUCUAACCAACCUCACCUAACCAACCAACUCCGUCUUCGCGCUCAUUCUCAACCCGCAGCCUACUCCCUCCCCAUCCCUCUCGCCAACUCUCUCUCAGAUCCAAGCUCCCUUCCCUCACCUCUCCCUCUCCUCUCUCGAUCUCUCUCUCUCUCUCUCUCUCUUCUACACAGACCCAAACCCAACCCCUCUCGCCCAUCUCCCUCGCGUCUCCUCCAACCUCUUCCUCUUUAGGGUUUUCUCCUCCAACCUUUUCCGCUCCUCUCAACCUCAUAUACGAUGGUCGGAUUGGGAAGGAUCGUUCGCCGAGGCGAUCCCCCAGUUCUCUCUUUCGUGCUACGUGCGGAUUCUUAGGGUUUUGAUGGAGAUCGGAGCUUUUAGGGAUCGAUUUUGUGGAGGGUUUUUUGAGAUCUGGAGGUGUGAUUCGUGUUCCAUGAGGUUUUGGGAGGUGAGAUCUUAGGGUUUUGGAUUUGUCGUUUGUUCCGAUGUCGACGGGAGCUCCGAAGGUGCGGUCCAUUAAUGUCGCGGAAUCGGAGGCGAGGCCGAUCCUCGGACCUGGGGGGAACAAGGCGAGAUCAUCUUCUAUACCUCGGAAGCAUUCCCCGAAGUUGAACAAGGCGGAGGAGAAGAAGUCCUCUUCGUUCUGUAGCUGUGCCUCAACGGGGAGGAUCGGGAGGCCGAGCUUCACGGCCCGGCGGAGGCCGAGCUCCGCUAGGUCGGAUAGUAAAGUCCUGGCUAAGCUGGAGAAAGUUGUUCCCGAUGGUGUGUCUGUGCCUCUGGUGGAGAUCUCGACGGUGAAGAGGAGGUGUUCUUGGGUUACUCCAUAUACUGGUGCGUAUAUCAUUGAUUUGCCCUCCCUGUGCUUAAUGUUUCAAUGUGGAAAUUUUACUGCAUAAACAAUUGACAUUACAUUUUGCCAGUAUAAGUUAGAGAUGUUGCUAUUUUCGCGUCCAAAUGCAACGUUGCUUUCGUACUGGGAAACGUAAUUUAAUUAGAAAUGGUGAGUUAACUGUUGAAAACUUCUGAUAGGGUUUUUGGAUUACAACCAUAUGUAGGUGGUGGGAUUAGAGUACAUUUUAGUUGAUUUAGCUAAUUAAAAGAGUCGUAUCUAUACUACACCAGAUAUGGCUAUACGUCGUGGUCGUACCGGAGCAACAUGGUAGAAUCUCUAUCGUCAAAUCAUACAACUCAUGGUCUCUAUUGUAGCUGGUCAAAUUGAAGCAGGACAUGUAUUUGGUGGAAGAUGCAGAUGUUUGAGAAAUUCUCUUUAUAUUUUCAGGAUGAAUCUUUACUACAUAAUGGUAAAUUGGACGAGAAAAAGACGUUGGAAAGCUCGAUAUGCUUAGUUUUUUUCUUUGUAUAUUAAGUGGUUUGUGGAUUGUAACUUAAGCAACAGUUUGAAACUAUGUCAUCUUGCAGAGGAUAAAACCGAUAUGCCUUCUUUGGUUUAUAUUGUAGUAGUGUUGUUCUGUGAGUAGUAUCACCGUUGAUAAAAUUGUUAGAUGCACACUAACAAUUUUUGAAGUACAUAUAGAUGCAGUUUAAUCAUCAACAUACAAAAUGGUAUAGUUGUGGUGAAUAACUAUCAAAUUUUGGCAGUGAGUGCUACUGAAUGCUGUUAAUUUUUGUUUUUUGAAUACGUGCACCUUCCUGUCUUUUUUGUUACAACGUACAUGUUAACACAUGAUAAUUUAGAUGUAUGAAAGUUACUGGUAAUCAUCGUGGUACAAAUCCAAAUGGCAAUUUAAAAAACCCCCAUAUAUUUUUGCCUCCAAUCUCUUAAUGAAUGAAUAAGAGGUUAAAGCAUAUAUUGAUUAUUAGUUAUGAAUUAUUCACUAUUAUGACUUAAAUUCUAACCUGAAUUUGUCAAACAUCUCUGACAAUCAACUUGUUGUAUAUUAGCAUAUUUGGAAUCCAUCUCUCUUUCCUCAUAAAAUCGAGUUAACUUAAGAACAAAUUGUUUGGGGAUUCUUGGGAUGUAGUAAAAUGUUGGAAGUUAGAGGCAUUCUGUAAAGUGAAGCUUCUGGAGAUGGCUUUGAUCAGGAAAAACACAAAAAACAUCACUGAACUAUAUCAUGCUGUUCUCUUGAUGGCCAUGGCCCCACCAUGUGUGAGCAUUUAACUCUUUGUGGGUCUCUCUAUGUUUGGGAAUCUAUCUUUGAUGAUUGAGUUGGGCCUUCAAAUUAGCACCAUGCAUAUGUUCUGUGUGAGACCUGACAAAUUAUUGAGUGGAGAAUGGAUUAGGAAAGUUCACAUGAAUUUGGAUAAUAAUUAGGCUUGGUCUUGUUGUUCAAGAUAGGUCCAAAAAAUAAAUUAUUGAGUGUUGAAUGGAUUAGGAAAGUUCACAUGAAUGCAUAUGCGGACCCAAUUGCAAAUGAAUAAAUGAACUGAGCUAAAAAUGAAAAGCAACUAGGCUUUAAAAAUCAGGUUACUAGCUCUAAUUUUCAUGUUGAUAAAAAAUGGUGCAAUGCUGAUUUUCAGGACUGAACUGGACCAGCCUUGGAUUUUGAUAAAAUUCGUUUAAAUUUCUUAUAGGAGCUGAGCUUUGGAAGGGGUUGCAAGUGAUCUUGACUUCAUCCUCUAGUAGUUAGAAUCUUGUUUGGACCAAUUUGGAGGUAAGAUGAGUGGUAAUUUCAGUUUUCAUUGAGGUCGAAGACCGAAAAAAAGAUUUUACGUCAAAGCUGAAUUCUUGACCUUUAUUUCUUAAUUGUAAAGGAAUUUCACAGUGAAAUAUAGAUUUUUCUUAUAGUAUAGAAGUCAAAGAUCACUUUUGAAUUGCCCCCUAGCCUUAUAUUGUUCUGAAUUUUCUUGUGGAGCAAGAAAUUUGCAACACCAAGGUGCAGCCCAGCAGCUGCAGAAAUGCAUCCCAGUGGUGGUCAUUGAACUUGAGAGUGAACUGAUAUAUUUACUUUUGAUCUCGAAGGAAAGCAUCAUACUAAUCCGUAUGUGAGAAUCCUUUUCAGAGGAGAAGAGAGAAAGACCAAGGUUUGUAUCGUCGUCAUUCCUAUACGUAGCAAACCUGUGUAUUGUGAUUAUAUCUACUAAAUUACAUUACUUCUUUACUCUAAUCAAUGCAGUGCAUUAAGAAAAAAAGAGAUCCACGUUGGGAAGAGGAGUUUCAGUUCAUGUGCAAAGAGCCACCUACUAAUUAAUGAUAAGAUGCAUGUGGAAGUCCUUAGCAGGCCACCUAGUAUUGGCAUACACUCGAAGGUACCUUCAACCUCAGCUUUGAUGGCAUUUAUGUUGGCUUUUGAGAUCGAAACUGUCUGGAGCCUAUGAUUGGCUGGAUAUAGGGACAGCAACUAGCUAAGAUGAGCUUUUCAGACCCUCAAAGUAGCUCUUUUUUUUACUUUUUUGUAAGCUUCUGCUUCUUUUGAAAGUUGAUUUUUAUGAAUGACUGCUAGGAUUUAAUGAAAAACUGUGCACCAACAAAUCAUCAAGUUUCAUUUUUUAUGCUUUGGACUUGUGGCUCGGUGAAUCAUGUGGCUCGUGUUGAUGAAGUUAAUUAGUUCCAUGUCCAGUGCACCGUCCUGCAGAACUUCACUUGUUCUCUGGUCUGUUGCUUGCAAAGAUAUGAUAAUCAUUUUCAGCUUCUGAAUUUGUAGAGCUCCAGAUUGAAAAGAAUGCUGAUUCCACUCAAUCAAGUGUUGAUUUUUUUUUUUCCAAGAAAUUACAGUAUUGUUUGGAGCAUCAAAGAUGAAGUUUAUUUGACAUGNUAUUGGUUAUGCUACUUAGAGCUGUACCUUUCAUAUUCAGGGUGCUGGUUGGAAAGUUGUUGCUAGUUUUGAGGGGAACUUCCCUAAUAGGAUCAAACAACUUCCACUGGACAGGCACUUUGAUAUUAAUAAUGUCAAAAGGGUAAUUUAACCAUCUCUUCAUUCUUACUCUAAUAUUUUUGUCCUACAUUAUGACUAACCUCUUUUAAUGGUUUUUAUGGCACUCUAGAUUGUGCUGGAAGCUGAUGGUUAUCAACCAUAUCUGAUUUCUCCGGAGAAAGGUUUAAGGUCUUUGAUAAAGGGUGUUUUAGAAUUGGCAAAGGAACCGUCACGCCUCUGUGUGGAUGAGGUAAAGUUAUGACUUUUGAAGCAUUUUUGUAUCUAAUAGUAUCUUAUCUCUAUUUUCAAGGCAUAAGCCUAGAUAGUGUUAAUUUGUUUGUUUGCUUUCCUGGUGUUGUAAGUGUUUCUUUUUAUCAGCAAUAUUAUGCUUUUAGAAAAUGCUUCCCUGUUAAUGUGAUUGAUUUUUUGUUCUUUUUUCCCUGUAUUUCAGCUUUGGAAUGGUUAAUACUUAAUCGUACCCAUAUGCUCUUAUUGCGAAAGGUGUCUGUUUUGUUAUCCUUUGUUAAUCACAGUUGUAAGGGCUGUUUCUUUCCUCGUUCCCAUUGCAUUGAGCUUAAUAUAUGCGUGCACUCUGCUCGGUUGACCUAUCAAAUGGUUAAUCUUUUAGGGCUACCAGUCAAGUAUCAUGCUUCAUAUAUAUGUGUGCACUCUGCCCGGUUGACCUAUCAAAUAAGUGGGAAAGAAAACAUGGUGUACUUGUCAAUCUUUGGCCAUUUUCCAUUUUUUGUAGCGGGAAAGAAAUAAUCGUAUACUUUUGUCAAUCUUUUGGCCAUUUUCCAUUUUUGAUAUCAUCCUUCAGUUUUUGAAUGGGAGGAAAACAUGGUGCACUUGUCAAUCUUUGGGCCAUUUUCCAUUUUUCCCUUAAGUUCUGGCACAAUGCAUAUAUUUCACAUUAUGUAGCUUGUAUUGCUGUAAAUGUGACUAUCUGGUUUAUUUUAGUUACUGAUCUUUCUUUCUCAUAAUUCCUUAUUAUAACUCGUGCCAUUAGGUGCACCGCGUAUUAAUAGAUAUAGUAUCUGCUGCUGCAAAUGCAACGCCAGGACUUGGAAGAUACCCCCCCUUCAAGCGUGAGGUAAUCCUUUUGUCUGAUGCUGUCAGAAAGAAAGGUUUCCUCUUCCCAUCAAUUGAGAUAAUUUAAAUAUGGUUUCUAACUCUAAAAUUCUUCCAUUUUGUUGCAAGGUCAUUGUAAUUGCAUCUGCUGCAUUGGAGGGGUUUAAAAAUGAGGCCAAAAAGAUGGUAGUUGCCCUCGUUGAUAUGGAGCGUGCCUUUGUUCCUCCUCAGCACUUCAUCCGCUUAGUGCAGAGAAGGUCGGUUGGAUUUUAUUUCCUUUUCUCUUGAAAACUGUUGGUGAGCAUGAUGCGGUUUGUUAUAUUAACACUGAAGAAGCAGCUUUAAAACAACUUUGACUAUGGAGAUGGACGAAAUGUCUUCGUUUUCUACUACAUGUUUGUCAAGUUUUAAAGUUUGUUAUGGUGAUCUAUCAUUCUCCAUGAACAUGUUGCAUACCUUCUUUCUCUUUCUUCUUUGCAGGGCUUAUUAUAUGGAGGGAAUGAUACACUAUUUGAGUCCACAGGUCUUUAUGCAAGGGUAAGAUGAUAUCUUGUAACUAACAUAUUUUGCUACUCUAUAGUGAUUAUCUGUUAAUUACCUUAAAAUGUUCGUAUGGUAUGUCAUUUCGUCUAAAGAGGAACUUAUUAGAUUGUUUUUCUUCGCGUGCAUGCGCCUUAAGCUUCAUUGGUCCAGUCAAUAAAUAGUUACUCUAUUUCACAUUGUUAUUUAUCUAAUUGAAGAUGCAAGAAUUUACUUUUCACGACAAACCCAUGUGAGCAAGCCAUUUGCAUAUUAUAAAUUUUUAACAUUGUCAACUACGCCACGCAUGGGGAGUCCAUGCUUAGGACUUAAAAACACUAUUCCCGUCUUGCUUGUGGGUUUUCUACAAGAACCUCGUAGUAUACCGCUUUAAUCCUCUCUUAUGAGUCACUUUGUUUCUUUGCUUUUAGUAAUGAAACUUACCUCCUGGUCUUCAAAACCUCCGUUUUUUAGGUGUCAUACUCCACUUAAGCAGGAAUAUUAGUGGUGCAAUUAUUCGCCCACAAUAUGCAAUUGUUGACACAUGUUGUAUGAAAUAACAUAUUCUGUAGUACUGUACAAUUUUAUGUUCCUGUACUGAAACUUCUAUUUUCUUCUAUUUGUCAAAUCUAGUCAUCAGUUCAAGAGGUUCUUCUCAAGACAGGAAAGGUAAAUAUUUUUGCCUACAUGCUAUUACUAUAUCUUUGUUGUGUGACUAUCAUUUUGUUGUUUAAGUAUCAUCAUGUGCCUAAUUCAUGUUAUUAUUUAACAAGCAAGGGUGUUUUCCUUCGACAUUACCAAUUUGCAGUGUCCCCCUCACUUUUUACAUAUUCUUCUCUAAAGUGCAGUUUCUUAUGUGACUUUCCAGAAUCUACUGAAAAUGAAAAUAAGCCCACUGUAAACACUUCAUACACUGACCUGAACUGACUAGCAGCCUAUAUGGCUCGGUAGAAUCUAUUGAACAAGUAUUGUUGCAUAGAAUCAUUUGAAGAUGCACUCCCAGUUUUGGAGAAGGGCUUACUCUGAUUAAUCCAUUGUCAGAUAUUAAUCUAACCUAUUUGGUGAUAUUGGCCUGAAAUCCUUUUCGCUGUUCUUAUGUUCAUUUUCAGAUGUACUUGUCUACUUAAUUUGAGUGCUAUUGUUACAAAAUGAAAAGAAAAGCUAGACCAAAUCAGUACAACCUAACUUUCAUAUUUUUCAGAAAAUUGAUAUGAUUUUUAUUUGGUCAUUUCGAAUACUGAUUUUAUGACUUCUUUUUGGUUGAUCCAGAACAGCUGGAGCUGCGGAAAUUGAAGUGGGAAGCAAGAGUUUCAAACAUGCGAUGUUUGUUAUUUUUUCGCUACAUUUUGAACAAGUAUUUUUUGUUAGAACUUAUGUUUGAAAUUUAAUUUGAAUACUGAGAUUGUAAUUUGAAAAUUGAGACUAUUUGAUAUACAAAUUAUUAAUGCUUUUUGGUUACUAAUAUUUUUUAAUAUUUCAAUUCAUUGUAGUAUUUAGUUGUUAAUCAAGUAGUUUAAUAUUAAUUUAAUUGCCGCUAUAAGCUUUAUUUACUAGUCAUUUAGUAUGUUUUUUGCGACAAUUAUAAUUAAUUAUAGCGGUAUUUAUAAUAGUUGUUAUUGUUUAGUAUUUAGCGGCAUUUAUAAUAGUUGUUAUUGCAUACUAUUUAGCGGCAUUUAUAAUAGUUGUUAUUGUAUAAUAUUUAGCGGUAUUUCUAAUGGUUGUUAUUGUAUAUUAUUUAGCGGCAUUUAUAAUAGUCGUUAUUGUAUAAUAUUUAGCGGCAUUUAUUUGAAUUUUUACCAACCGCCGGAAUAAAUGCCGCUAAAACUUUUAGCGACCCUGCCAAUAGCGGCAAUUGUUAAAAUUGCCACAAAAUAUUUUAGCGGCAAUUGUAAUUGCCGCUAAUUUAAAAAAUAAUCGCCGCUAAAACAUAGUUUUGUUGUA